AAACCAAUAAUAUAUAUUAAAUGACCAAUUUAAAAAGCUAAAAUGCUAAAACAAGAAAAAGUGUGAGAGAAAUUAAUACUACCAUAUGACAUACCUGGAUUGGUGCAAUCCUUGA